AGUGCAGUGGCACGAUCUCGGCUCACUGCAACCUCCACCUACAGAGUUCAAGUGAUUCUCCCGCCUCAGCCUCCCCAGUAGCUGGGACUACAGGGUCCCGACGGCCUACACAUGGGGCGCUGUGGGCGCCGUGGGGCUGGUGUGGGCCACCGAUUGGCGGCUGAUCCUGGACUGGGUACCUUACAUCAAUGGCAAGUUUAAGAAGGAUAAUUAAUUACACAAACCCUUCACAGACUGCUCUGGUGCCUGGUGGCGCCAGCUCCUCCCACCUCAGCACCUGCUGCAUCUGGAGCAGCCCAAGCCUCAGGAUGGACGAGAGGAAACCCACAGCUCAGCUUCAGGCUUCUUAUGUUUCUGAAAACAGCUUGGAUAUUUUAAUGCACGUUGCAUUAAACCUCACUGAAACCUG
rnacentral:sRNA from 1 species